CCUACGGGUGGCAGCAGUGAGGAAUAUUGGUCAAUGGCCGGAAGCCUGAACCAGCCAAGCCGCGUGAAGGACGAAGGUGCCAUGCAUUGUAAACUUCUUUUGUCAAGGGACAAAAUCAGGCUCGUGUUCCUGACCGUAGGUACCUGGAGAAAAAGCAUCGGCUAACUCCGUGCCAGCAGCCGCGGUAAUACGGAGGAUGCGAGCGUUAUCCGGAUUUAUUGGGUUUAAAGGGUGCGUAGGGGGACAGUUAAGUCAGCGGUAAAAGGUCGGGGCUCAACCCCGGCGAGCCGUUGAAACUGGUUGUCUUGAGAGGUCGAGAGGUAGGCGGAAUGCGCGGUGUAGCGGUGAAAUGCAUAGAUAUCGCGCAGAACUCCGAUUGCGAAGGCAGCAUACCGGCGGCGAACUGACGCUGAGGCACGAAAGCGUGGGUAUCGAACAGGAUUAGAUACCCUAGUAGUC
rnacentral:rRNA from 1 species